GCAUAACAGUAAUGUUUUGUCUCAGUCAGAGCUAUAGUUUCAGAGAAAAUCACUAUAAUGUAAGGCCAUAUCCUACGACAAUUUCAGUCUAAUUUCUUCGAAAAAUCCUAAUUUCAGUGUAUCAUUAUUAAAUGCAGUGUUGACUAAUAUCUGAUCAUAUACUCAUGAUCUAUGCAUUCAAACAAAUAAAUAGGACACAAAAGACAACUUUAAGAUGAUAAAUAAUUUUAUUGCACCUUUUAGAGUUCAUAAGAAGGUCCGUUUUGGUCUGUUUUGGUCCAUUUUUCCUUCUUCCUUCUUUUUUCAUCAAAACUUGAUAUCUUUUGUCUAAAAAAUAAAAC
rnacentral:lncRNA from 1 species